rnacentral:rRNA from 1 species
UACGGGGGGGGCAAGCGUUGUUCGGAAUUACUGGGCGUAAAGGGCUCGUAGGUGGCCAACUAAGUCAGACGUGAAAUCCCUCAGCUUAACUGGGGAACUGCGUCUGAUACUGGAUGGCUUGAGUUUGGGAGAGGGACGCGGAAUUCCAGGUGUAGCGGUGAAAUGCGUAGAUAUCUGGAGGAACACCGGUGGCGAAGGCGGCAUCCUGGACCGACACUGACACUGAGGAGCGAAAGCCAGGGGAGCAAACGGG